AGAAGAAGUCAUAACCAGAUCCAGGCGGCGCCAGUGACCAAGCAACACACAUCCGUCCCCCACGUCGCCUGGAGGCGACACAGGCGGAUCCAGAUCGGGCGCCACCGGCAGCCCCCUCCUCCUCCCCACCUCCCCUCGCCGUCGCCGGAGGAGGCCGCCGGGCUAAGCCCGGGCGGCGGACGGCGGCGGCGGGGCCUCUCUUUUGCGUCGGGAUCUCGUGGCGGGGGAGGCACGCCUCCUUGCGGUGCUGCGCGACGGCUACGGCGCGAAGAUCCUCCGAGGCUGCGUCUCCGGUGGGUGGCGGCCACGGUGGUGUCGUCGUCAGGCUCCAGGGAUUCGGUCCGGCGGCUCCUGCCCGGCGAGUAGGGGCGGGGUGGUGCCCCCCCUUUCCUGCUUUCAGUCAUUCGUUUCCGCGCAGGUCGGCUGCUCUGGCCGGCCCUUGGUGGUUGCUGCUGUGCUGCGGCAAGGGGGCGCCAGAUCCGGCGGUUCUUCGUCGGAUCCGGCUCGUCUGCGUCUUUCGGAGGGUCGGUCAUUCCGGUGGCCUUGCCUGCGGCAGUGAGGCGGGUGUGCGUGCUCAGUGGUGGGCCCUGUGAGGUGACAACGCGGUUGCUAUGCAGGGGUGUGCGUGUCAGCGGCGGUGUGGGCCGGCUUGUGCCGGCUGCGUGAGGGUGUUGGUCGUGUCUCUGCUCCAAGCGCAAGCUUGCCCGGAUUUGGCCGGCCGGCGGUGGCGGCGACUACGGGCGCCGUUUCCCUUGUUGAAGGCACCGCCGUGGAGUUCUUCGGCCUGCUACAACCUCGGAUCUGGUUCUUCGGGUGAAAGCCUAGACCCUUCUGGGUCGGGCAACGACGCCGUCCGUACGGCGUUUCCUCCUUUGGGGCGUUGCUUUGAAGACCGGUGAUCCUUUCCCGUGCUUCCUUUGGGCUGGCCGUGCACGGUGUCUCGAUUGGCAGGUGCCCAACCGGUGAUUCGAGUGGUUGGCGUUGCGACUCGUGUGGCGACAACGAUGGUGAAGUGUGGAGCUGGGUCGCGGCUUGUCCUUUUGAUGUCGGCGGUUCAGUUCGCCUUUGGGUGUGUCUAUGCUUGUUUCUCACUGUGACAGAGAAGUCGAAGCUGCGUGCGGCAGGGCCCAUGCGGCAACGAUGACUCCAUGAGGGUGGUUUCGGCGGACGGUGCUCUCCGCAGGUCGCGUUGGAUAGGUCGAUGCGAGGCUUGCAACUUUCUUCUGUGAAGCUCAUCAACAAAAUCGGAGCUGCCGGUCCUCGACGUCUGCGGCCGAUUGUUUGGCUUCGGCUGACGAGGUCCUCGAGUGCCGUUCGUUCGGAGGGGUCUUGAUGGUCGUCAGCGAGGAAAUCGGAGUCGCCUGCUCGCGGAGAGGCGAUGACGAUGACAUUGUUGGUAGGGUGACGGUGUCCUCUCCUCGGCGUUGUGUGGGGUCUUGUAAGUGCCAGGUCGGUCGGAUUGCCCUGUUCGAUGGGCGAGUUGUAACGGUUUUCGCCCGGUUUUCCGUUAAUUAACCGGACAACUCUCUUCUUCUUAAUCAAUGAAAAUAGCAAAUC
rnacentral:rRNA from 1 species